GACGAACGCUGGCGGCGUGCUUAAUACAUGCAAGUCAACUUGACUUUAGAUAGCAAUAUCGAAAAGUAGGGUGGCGCACGGGUGCGUAACGCGUAGGUAAUCUGCCCUGAGGUCUGACAUAACCCGUCGAAAGGCGGGCUAACAUCAGAUGAUAUAUAAUCACGACAUCGUGGAAAUAUCAAAUCUUCGGAGCCUUGGGAUGAGCCUGCGUCUGAUUAGGUAGUUGGCGGAGUAAUAGCCCACCAAGCCUACGAUCAGUAGCUGGUCUGAGAGGAUGAUCAGCCACACUGGAACUGAGACACGGUCCAGACUCCUACGGGAGGCAGCAGUAAGGAAUAUUGCUCAAUGGGGGAAACCCUGAAGCAGCAACGCCGCGUGAAGGAUGAAAUACUUUUGUAUGUAAACUUCUGUAAGAUGGGAAAAAUAUUCUCCUCGGGAGAAUUGAUUGUACCAUCAGAGUAAGCCCCGGCUAACUACGUG
rnacentral:rRNA from 2 species